rnacentral:rRNA from 1 species
AUGUCGCCACCCAAGGUGGUCGCCGGGCCAGCCUGUGUGGUUGGCGAUGAAGGUCGUGGUGACAAUUUUGCCGAUUCGUUCCCUAGCGGAGGACCUUGGACGCCAAGGCGGCGGCCUCGGACGGUGAGGAAGCAUUUGUCAGAUGUGCUAGCCGGCUUCCUUGGCUACACGGGUGGAGAGGAUUCGGCUGAUUGUGGUCGCAACCCGGAUUCCCCACCUUCUGCUCCAGAUCUGAAGGUCAAGCUCAUCUCCUCCUCAAUUAAUUCCCCCACUGGCCCUGUCUGCUUUGUAGCCUUGAUCGCUGGAUCUGGUUCUAGCGGGGCUGGUGGUGUAGGAUCGAUUCCGGGGAAACCCUUGUUUGGUUCUCCGGUCAUGACUAAGAAAAGUUUGAAGGACUCCAUCGGCAUGUACACGGUCCAAUGCUACAAAUGUAAGAAAUGGCGCAAGAUCCCAACGAAAGAGGAGUUCGAGACGAUCCGCGAGAGCUUAGCCGAGGACCCCUGGUUCUGUGACAGGGACCCCAGCGCCGGCCGUUCCUGCAAGCAGCCGGAAGACAUUCCGUGCGACAGCAGCUGCAUCUGGGUCAUGGACAAGCCAGGCAUCCCGCGCCCGCCACCUGCGACGGAGCGGCUGGUGAUCAUGCGGCGUGACCUGUCCAAGAUGGACACCUACUACUUGCUACCCAACGGGAAGCGCGCGCGGUCCGGCAGCGACGUGGAGAAGUUCCUCCAGGAUAACCCGGAGUAUAGGGCGAACCUGCCGGCAUCAAAGUUCUCCUUCGCCGCGCCCAAGAUCGUUCCGGCGACCGUGAGAGAGAGCUCACUAUGGAGGGUUGCCAAGGCCGAGAGGGAAAAAGUUUGA